UUAAAGUACUAUAUUCAUAACUCAGAAGACUUUCCAUGGAAACACGUUUUAAUAAAUGUAGUUUGUCCACUACCAUCAAGUUAUUUGUUCUUGUUCUUUGGUCCUUUGUAGGGACUGAUGGUCCUGAUGAGUGAUGAUAACGUUACUUGCAGUAUCGUGGGAAAAGGAUGAGAAUAGAUUACUUUAUUGUCUCUGAGCAAUUGAAAGACAGGAUUGUUUCAUGCGACAUGCAUGGAUGAGGGAUCGAAUUCGAUGGCACAACAAGGACCAAUGGAGGGUAUUCCGAGCAGUGUUUGAUUGAUUCCGAGGCUUUGCACGUUGAUUGAAUGUUGGGAAGGAAGUUCAGUACUUAAAGGCAGAAUCCGACCACUGAAGAGUCUCAUGCGCUGGCCAUGCGUCGCAUAGCCAACGCACGAAAACCCCAUCUCUGAAUCUCAGACAGGCUAUGCAUUGGCCAUGCGCCGCACAAGCAACACACAGAGGAGAUCAGACACUGGCCAUGCGACACAUAGCCAGCGCACAAGCGGCGUCAGUUGUCCUACUUGGAUCGGGAUUGGGCCAAUUUAUCUUAUAUUGACCCUAGCGUAUAAAUAGUCAUUUUUAAAAUUAGAAAGACGGCUUGGACGAAUUUUGAGACUUGUGAAACUCUUUUUAGGUUUUAUUCCUUUUCUAUUAUUUUUCUUUACAUUGAAACCCUAUGUUAAUCAUGAAUUCUUGUUUCCAUUCUUGAAUCAUGUGUAACUAAACAUCGUAACUCUGGGUUGUGGCUUAUCCAUGAAUAUUGACGUUUGAAAAGUAUUUCAAUCUUA